ensembl:lncRNA
UAAUAGCUGCCGAGAAGAUUCUGAAGACAAUGCUCGAUCUGUAGGCUGUUAUGGUCUGAACAGCGCGGUCCGGAAGUAGUGGGGGGGAGCCGAUGUGAGAUAACCCUCGGCUUUCUCAUCUGGUCUGUGGUGCUGCCUUCUGUGGCUAAAGUAUUUAUUACAGCCUUCAGUAAGGUCUUGCUCCCCUUGUGGCUAUGUAUGGUAUUUACGGCUUAUAUGUUUGGUCCUGCUUCAUUGGGUCUAUGUGUGGGUAUCUUAGAAAAUACGUAACAAUCCCUCCUUGGUCAUCUCAGAUGACCAUACAAUAAUAUUUUAAAUCAUAAACACCAUUUACCACACCGAAAACAUAGUCAAAGUAGGAUCAAUCAACACCAUCAACCUUGUGGGAAUGACUCUCGAAUAGAGAAAAACCACUAAAUACUCCCAUAAUACUCACAUUUGGGGUAUUAUGAAAACGGUAUUCACAUUGUGGGUCUCAUUGGAAAUACAGGUCAUUAUUUAACAAUACAACAAUGAACAUGAAUCUUGUUAUCAUACAAUCACAUGGCCAAACAGCACAUAAACAAAACUAUCCAUAGAAAUCCUGAGCUAAUACUUUUGGUCAUGUGCUACAAGGCCAUACAAUUUUCAACAUGUGCAAAUGUAAAGUAAAAAUUGGUGGUCAUAAUACAAUUUUAAAAUUUCAAAAUGAUUGAUAGGCUAGCAUGGAUUUGGAGGGUUCAGGUGAUCUUCGUGUAUUGGUGCCCUGGUUCAUGUGGGUGGUUUUGGGCGAUGUUAUUAUCGUAGCCAUUGUUUUUUCUGUCGCCGUCGGGCCUGUGAUUCAUGAACCCAAGACUCGUCCCUCCUUGUCAAGGGCUCAUCUCAGAGAGGUUACUCCUACAUCAUGGGAGCCUCCAAACAGGUUCUCCGUCGUCGUCGUGUCAGCAACAGGUGGCCUGUAAAACAACUGUCUCAAAGAAGAUCAACAGUACCAUUAUCAAUGCAGCGAUUCAGAAAUAACGGGUUGCACUCGCAACCAAACAAUACUAUAUAAUAACAAACACAACUCGUCUUGGUGGUUCAAUAAUUAAUUAUUCAAGUAAAUCCAGGAUAUUGAUUAUCUUAGACACAGGUGCUACAAAUGGUGGCGUUUUAUUCUAUAUAUUGUAACUGGAUAGGUUCGGGUUCCUCAGGUGGUAUCUCAUUUAAGUUCAACUGAUUAUAUCUGAUUCCUACGUAAGCAUGAAUGUCACCUGGCACUUCUGUAGCGCCCACUGCUGUGGUGAUCAGCCGAUUCAGUAGCCCUCGUGCGCAGGGAAUACAACAGCAGCCGACAACAACUAACACGGCUAGUGCCAUUAUUCCCACGAUGAGUACUGACUGGAUCAUGCUUCUCCACCUACCAAACAGGUUCUCCAUCCAUCCAGCUAUUGGGUCACCAAUACCGGAGUUCUCGG